ensembl:lncRNA
GUAACUACUAGCAAAGCAUGGUCUUUUUGAGAUUUCUCUUUUCGCUCCAAAAGUAAGUGUUCCUCAAAAGAACAAAGAAGGACCCACCGCAGAACUAUUUAGUUGUAAUGCUUUACCUUGUGGUACCUCCGUACAUAUCAAUCCUGACAGAGGGGAAACAAAUGCAUUAACAGUGCACUGAAAUUGAAAACGUCGUAAGGCAUUUAACUUGACAACUGUGUAUUCAGAAAAGUCCUGACCCCCUAUGUUUUAAGGCCAGCCGGCAUCUCCUGAUAACCACUAUCAUAUUAGCCCAGCCCGUCAGGAGUAGGAGCAACAACACCAACUCAUCCACCAGCAAAAAAGCCGUAGCCUACAAUUGACAAAACAAGACACUACCCAUUCCAGACACAGAACAGGUGUUGAUUCCCCUUCUGACUGAAACUAUUUGAUGAAUCAAUGGAUCAACAAGAAAAUGAAAACACAGCUCUUAGCCAAGUCGCGGCUGGAAUCGCGCUUUCGCUGUUGGCUGCUUUUGUCGCCACCGUGUGGUGGUUCGACCGCCAGAGACGAACCAGCGAGAGUCCUACCAGACCGCGCAUGGAAGGGGACCGAUCAGUAUUCAAGGUGCCCCAGAGCCCGCCACCCAAGACACCAAAACCCUCCGUUUUUGAGCCAAUCUCAGAGCCUGAAGUCCAGGAAGCGGUGGGACAAUUUGAAGACACAGAGGAGGCAGAAGAGAACAUGGUUUCCUAGUUUAAAUGUAUUCCUGUUUUAUCUGUCCUGUAUUUUCUACAAAUAUUUUUUGAAGUUACAAAAGACAUUGUAUUGUGUUAAUUGUGGAACGCUUUUCUAUUAUUUCUUCUUCUUUACAUUUCCCUGUUACAGAAUCCUUUCAGAAAUAAUCUAGCCAAAGAGAAGUAGAAAACUAGAAGUUGUUGAAGCACCAUUUAAACAAAAUAAGAUUUUGCUUUAGAUAUCCAUAGAUUUGGACCCAGUUAGGCUAUUCAUGACAUUUAGUUGUCAUUAUUUAAAAAUACCUUAUAUUUUUGUAAUUAUUACAACUUAGUGACACAAUAAUAAAGGAAUACCAAUCUAAGUGUUUGGUUCAUCUCAGGGCCGGCCCCAGGGCUUUUAGGGCUGUUUUCUUUGUAUUGAUGACAUUUCCAUUUUCUCUCCAUCCCCUGCUGAGCAAGAGUAACACGUAUGCCAUGUUCUCCAGCGCCAGGAGAAUGAGCUUUAAGUAAAGGUUUGGAAGUGGGAAUUACACCCCAAGUCCCCUCGGUGUCCUGUCUAGGGUACAACAUACAGGCCAAGGGCAGGUGAAGAUGACCUCGCAAAGGUAGCUCCUCUGGCAGAAUUGCCCGGCCCGCCGAAUCUCCAUCAGGACAAACCCACGGGUAGCCCCGGUCUGUCCUCCAGCAGGGGGACAGGUUAAUCAACCGACUAGCGUGCCCGACUCUUCCUGGUCGUGUCUUGGGCCAAGCUAGGGUAGGAUUACAAAGUUCUGAAAACCAAACGCCUGGGGUCACGUACCAAACAACAAGGGUAGGAACUUCCCGAGACCCCGUAAAAAGGGGGGGACGAAUGAUC